UCCUUGGUGGCUCAAAUGGUAAAGAAUUUGCCUGCAAUGCAGGAAACCCAGGUUCAAUCCCUGGAUUGGGAA
rnacentral:tRNA from 1 species